UCUACAAUGAACUCAAACAAAUUUACAAGAAAAAAACAAACAACCCCAUCAAAAAGUGGGCAAAGGAUAUGAACAGACACUUCUCAAAAGAAGACAUUUAUGGAGCCAAAAAACACAUGAAAAAAUUCUCGCUGUAUAUUUUCCCAGCAUCUGAUCUCUGGUGAGAUAGGAAGGUAACAUAUCCAUAAGAAGAGUGAGAUACUCUGGGUUCUAUUAAUUAAUUAUAUAUCCCUCAUGUUAAUUAAGCUCUCUGAAUUUUUCAUUUAACUCUCUAAUGGCUAUUAUUUAUUUGUUUGCUCUCUCUCUCUUUUUUUUUUUUUUGGCUGUACAGUUACCCAUAUAAAUUUACUCAUGUGCAUACCAUGGUUCCAUUUGUUUUAGCAAUAGGAGACUGGAUGGUUUGUGAUAUAGUUUGGAUAUAUGUCCCCGCCCAAAUCUCUGUUGAAUUGUAAUCCCCAGUAUUGGAAGUGGAGCCUGGUGGGAGGUGAUUGGAUAAUAGAGGUGGAUUACUCAU
rnacentral:lncRNA from 1 species